rnacentral:rRNA from 1 species
UACGUAGGGUGCGAGCGUUAAUCGGAAUUACUGGGCGUAAAGCGUGCGCAGGCGGUGAUGUAAGACAGAUGUGAAAUCCCCGGGCUCAACCUGGGAACUGCAUUUGUGACUGCAUCGCUGGAGUGCGGCAGAGGGGGAUGGAAUUCCGCGUGUAGCAGUGAAAUGCGCAGAUAUCAGGAAGAACACCCGUGGCUAAGGCGGCUCUCUAGUACGGUACUGACGCUGAGACGCGAAAGCGUGGGGAGCGAACAGG